GACGAACCGAGCGAACGUUGUUCGGAAUCACUGGGCUUAAAGGGCGCGUAGGCGGGCUGUCAAGUCUGGGGUGAAAUCCCGCGGCUCAACCGUGGAACUGCCUCAGAUACUGACGGCCUCGAGGAAGGUAGGGGCGAGCGGAACUAAUGGUGGAGCGGUGAAAUGCGUUGAUAUCAUUAGGAACUCCGGUGGCGAAGGCGGCUCGCUGGACCUUUUCUGACGCUGAGGCGCGAAAGCUAGGGGAGCAAACGGG
rnacentral:rRNA from 1 species